UGGGGGAUAUUGCACAAUGGGCGAAAGCCUGAUGCAGCGACGCCGCGUGGGGGAUGAAGGCCUUCGGGUUGUAAACUUCUUUUGCUCUGAACAAGGCAUGCCUUUGGGGUGUGUUGAGUGUAGGGGUUGAUUAGCGCCGGCUAACUACGUGCCAGCAGCCGCGGUAAUACGUAGGGCGCGAGCGUUGUCCGGAAUUAUUGGGCGUGAAGGGCUUGUAGGUGGCUGGUUGCGUCUGUCGUGAAAGCUCAUGGCUUAACUGUGGGUUUGCGGUGGGUACGGGCUGGCUUGAGUGCAGUAGGGGAGGCUGGAAUUCCUGGUGUAGCGGUGGAAUGCGCAGAUAUCAGGAGGAAUACCGGUGGCGAAGGCGGGUCUCUGGGCUGUUACUGACGCUGAGGAGCGAAAGCGUGGGGAGCGAACAGG
rnacentral:rRNA from 1 species